rnacentral:lncRNA from 1 species
UUGGGAAAAUGCUCUUAAGGCAGAUACUGAUUUUUUACACCUAAUGGGCAGGCCUAACGGUCAAAGGGUUGGAGCAACAACCUUCAGAAUCAAGAUUUGAAUGCCUCAGAGGCAACAUUGGGUAAAUUUUUUUUUUCUUUUCCUUUUCGCAUUGUCGAGCCAGCGCACCUCCAGUAUUCUACAAUGCCCUGCAGCGUCCCACCAUAACUAGGUAAAUUCUUCCCA